AACGCUGGCGGCGUGCUUACACAUGCUAGUCGAGCGCGAACGCAACUUUCGGGUUGCUAGUAGAGCGGCGCACGGGUGAGUAACACGUGAGUGACCUGCCCAAUGGUUUGGGAUAAGCGCUGGAAACGGCGGCUAAUACUGGAUAAGACUACAUAUUUUUGGUAUGUAGGANAAGCGGGGGACCUUUCGGGGCCUCGCGCCGUUGGAUGGGCUCGCGUCCCAUCAGCUAGUUGGUAGGGUAAUGGCUUACCAAGGCAAAGACGGGUAGCUGGUCUGAGAGGAUGAUCAGCCACACUGGGACUGAGACACGGCCCAGACUCCUACGGGAGGCAGCAGUGGGGAAUAUUGCGCAAUGGGCGAAAGCCUGACGCAGCGACGCCGCGUGGAGGAUGAAGGCCUUCGGGUUGUAAACUUCUGUCAAAUGGGACGAAAGGGUAGUGUUCGAAUAGGACAUGACUCUGACGGUACCUUUAAAGGAAGCACCGGCUAACUCUGUGCCAGCAGCCGCGGUAAGACAGAGGGUGCAAGCGUUGUUCGGAAUUACUGGGCGUAAAGGGCGCGUAGGCGGCUAUGUGUGUCUGAUGUGAAAUCCCUUGUUUCAAGCGAGGAACUGCAUCGGAAACUACGUAGCUUGAGUCUCAGAGGGGGAAGCGGAAUUCCUGGUGUAGAGGUGAAUUCGUAGAGAUCAGGAGGAACACCCGUGGGCAAGGCGGCUUCCUGGCUGAAGACUGACGCUGAG
rnacentral:rRNA from 1 species